UGGGGAAUCUUGGACAAUGGGGGCAACCCUGAUCCAGCCAUGCCGCGUGAGUGAUGAAGGCCUUAGGGUCGUAAAGCUCUUUCGCCUGUGAAGAUAAUGACGGUAGCAGGUAAAGAAACCCCGGCUAACUCCGUGCCAGCAGCCGCGGUAAUACGGAGGGGGUUAGCGUUGUUCGGAAUUACUGGGCGUAAAGCGCACGUAGGCGGACCAGAAAGUUGGGGGUGAAAUCCCGGGGGCUCAACCCCGGAACUGCCUCCAAAACUAUUGGUCUAGAGUUCGAGAGAGGUGAGUGGAAUUCCAAGUGUAGAGGUGAAAUUCGUAGAUAUUUGGAGGAACACCAGUGGCGAAGGCGGCUCACUGGCUCGAUACUGACGCUGAGGUGCGAAAGUGUGGGGAGCAAAACAGGAUUAGAUACCCUGGUAGUCCACGCCGUAAAACGAUGAGUGCUAGUCGUCGGCAGGCAUGCCUGUCGGUGACGCAGCUAACGCAUUAAGCACUCCGCCUGGGGAGUACGGCCGCAGGUUAAAACUCAAAUGAAUUG
rnacentral:rRNA from 1 species